rnacentral:rRNA from 1 species
UACGGAGGGUGCGAGCGUUGUCCGGAAUCAUUGGGCGUAAAGGGCGCGUAGGUGGCCCGGCAAGCGUGCGGUGAAAGCUCGGGGCUCAACCCCGAGUCGGCCGUGCGAACUGCGGGGCUGGAGCACUGUAGAGGCAGGCGGAAUUCCGGGUGUAGCGGUGGAAUGCGUAGAUAUCGGAAGGAACACCUGUGGCGAAAGCGGCUCACUGGACCAUAACUGACGCUGAGGCACGAAAGCUAGGGGAGCAAACAGG